UACGGAGGGUGCGAGCGUUGUCCGGAAUCACUGGGCGUAAAGGGCGCGUAGGUGGCGCGGGCAGUCAACGGUGAAAGUUCGGGGCUCAACCCUGAAUCGGCCGUCGAUACUCCCGAGCUCGAGCACUGUAGAGGCAGAUGGAAUUCCGGGUGUAGCGGUGGAAUGCGUAGAGAUCCGGAAGAACACCGGUGGCGAAGGCGGGUCUCUGGGCCGAUACUGACGCUGAGGAGCGAAAGCGUGGGGAGCGAACAGG
rnacentral:rRNA from 1 species